rnacentral:tRNA from 1 species
GAAAAUCCGUCGACUUUAUAAAUCGUGAGGGUUCAAGUCC